GUUAAUUCUAAUGGAGGAAUCUAUUGUUGAACCAGUCAGACAAGUUUAUUUGUAAGAUGAGGACCACACACUUGCCACCUACAUAAUGCCAUUAUUUCCUUAGUCUAAACCAAGGCUGUGGGCUGAGCAGUUAAGUGCCACGAUUAGCAUCAGAGAAGAAGGAACUGGAUUGCCAAGCUACAACCACCUCUUCACUUAGUUGGUAAACAGAGAACAAUAGGGAGAGAGCUGAGUCAGACCCAUUCUUGGUGUUUGCUUGACUCCAAAGCUGUGACUAAUGGAUGAGCAAGACACUUUGGGGUGUUGAGCCCCUCUGUCUUAUGCUUGGAUUGUAUAUAUGUGUAAAUAAAUCCUAUAUCAUCAUGUUGGCGUGGUCUGGAAAACCUGGAAUCUCUCACUGCUCAGCGAUUGGGGUUAUGUGCAGUGAUACUUUGGAUCAUCGGGUCUAGUCAGGUAUUCAUUUUUAUCUCUGCACAUGAAAUUUUCUCACUCCAUUUGUUUUAACUCUUUGCAACCCAGGAGGAGAAGAAGAACAAAACGAAUGGAUAUUUCCACAACGAAAACUUAAAAGCUGUUGUGGCCAAUUUAUUUGCUGCUGGCACAGAGACCACUGCUAUCACACUGCGCUGGGGACUGUUAUUAAUGAUGAAAUAUCCUGAAGUUCAGAGUGAGUGCUUUUCAUUGGGUUGGCUCCCAUUAUUAUGAGAUAUCUUAAUUUCAAUUUUAUGUAACUAUUAGAGCAAGAGCUCAAAGAAAACUUGGGGCAGAUUUGGAUGUUACCUGAAACAGCAGCAGGAGGGGAUGAGUACAUUGCCCUUCCUGUCAUAGUGAAGAUUGGUGUGAAUUAAUUAAUCAACCAAGGGGCGGGAUUGUGUAAGGUGAUUAUGAAUAUGAAAACACUGGAAACGCAUAUUGUAGAGCCCUGCUUGGUCAGGAAUCUCCAUGGAAGUGGCCACCUUAUGAGAGCUACAGCCAUUUUCCCACCUGAUAUUUAAAUAGCAAUCCUGGAUGCAUUUGUCUCCAUCAGUAUAUCAGGCAUUGGCUUAAAUCAGUGGUUCCCAAUUAGCCAAUUACUGAGGACUUUUCAAAAGCCAAGCCACAGAACCCCUACUUUUGAAAAUUUUGAUAACUCUAUGGCAGUUACCUGUGCAAGUCAUUUUAAAAAAUGUGGGGCAGCCUCUAAUAAGAAAAGGAUUUUAGGUAUACUAAAUAGACCAUAAAAUUUGUGAUAUUUCCACACAAAAUGACAAAGAUUUAGUUGGGGGAGAGACAAAUUUAAUUUUAUUAACAUAUAGUACAAGUGAACAAAUUAUGACAUGCCAACAGCUACUAAACCUUAAUAAUAAUAAUAAUAAUAAUAAUAAUAAUAAUAAUAAUAAUUUACUUGUUGAUUUAUUUACAUGCCACCCAUCUGACUGAGUUGCCCCAGCCACUCUGGGCAGCUCCCAACAGAAUGUUAAAAACACACUAAACCUAAAUGUGAUGGGAGAAAUCAUGCCUCUUUUCGUCUAAAACAAUCCCUUCCACAUCUGGUUCAAUAUUUCCUACUUUUAUUCUCAAAUAUGGUUCAACAUCAAGCCGAUUUCUAUGCUUGUUCUUCAUAUAACAAAAUGUUGAAAAUGUUUGUUCACAAAGCUAUGCGGACCCAAAGAGAACUAGAUUUUUCAGAGUUUUUUCACCCAACUUCUUAUAAUCAGCAAAAACCUUCACCCAGAAUUGGUCCAGUCUACAUACUUUGUAAAUUACUUCAGUGAACCACCACAAGUUACAUCAGCAAGUGCAUCUUGCUGUUCCACAAAUAGCGCUGUUAGUUGUACAUCACCACAUUCAAAAGGAUUCCUUAUCCAUGAGUUUUCAGGAUUUGGUACAGGAAAGUAAUCCCAGAAGAUAGUCGCUAAAUUAUGCAGGUGCUCAGUGAUGUAAUGUUUUACUUCUGUUAUCAAUUCUUCUUCAAUGGCCUCCAGAAAUGUCUCCUCUGUUGGGAUGUUAGUGAGGCUACAACCUUCUACUCGGUUUCCCCAAAUUUUUGAAUAACUGCCUCAAUCUUAUCUUCAGUGUAAAAAAUAUUCACAUCACUGCCUUGAAGGCUUAUGUUGAGAAUGUAUGUGAAAACGUCUAUCAUACACAACCAUGCAAAGUUGUUUAACUGAUCACAUGGAAAUUUUGAAUCUGUCAAAAUUUUAAAUCAGAGAGUGAGCUGUUGUGCUAAUCAUUGUGGCAAUUUGCUUAGCAAUUUCCCCUGUUGGACUUCCAAGAUGACAAAUGAAUCCCAAACACAUAAGGCAAGAUUCACUGAAAACCCUACCUACAAGUAGUGGAAGAGUUCUAUAAACCUGAGAGUCGCUGAAAGCAAUUAGAAGUUCUUUUCAGUUAAAAAGGGAAGCAAAGGGAAGGGAUCUCUUACUCUUUUUUUUUUAAAAAGGACAAGCACAUAAGGUAAAAGGUAAAGGACCCCUGGAAGGUUAAGUCCAGUCAAAGAUGAUUAUGGGGUUGCGGCGCUCAUCUCACUUUCAUGCCGAGGGAGCCAACGUUUGUCCACAGACAGCUUUCCGGGUUAUGUGGCCAGCAUGACUAAACCUCUUCUGACACAACGGAACACCGUGAUGGAAACCAGAGCACAUGGAAAUGCUGUUUACCUUCCCACUGCAGCAGUACCUAUUUAUCUACUUUCACUGGUGUGCUUUCGAACUGCUAGGUUGGCAGAAACUGGGACAAAGCAAUGGGAGUUCACCCUGUCGCCGGGAUUCAAACUGCAGACCUUCCGAUCAGCAAGCCCAAGAGGCUCAGUGGUGUGGACCAUAGCGCCACCCACGUCCCAUGUAAACCCACCCCGUGGAGCAAGCUGUUCUCUCUCCCUCUCCCUCUCCCUAUUCCCCACUCCAAUCGCAAGAGCCCUAAGAAAUUGUGUCAGAGGUUUUUGCUCAAUCCCAGGUCACUUCCCACCCAGGAACUCUUUCACAAGUUUUUCCCCUGCUGCUCCUGAGCAGAGGCUGGAUGAUGCCUGAAAGGCUUUCACUGUGCAAUUAACAAAAUAUGUGAGUCCCCCAGCAGGUGAUGGUGCUGCAGACCCACAGCAGUCCCUGAACCCCUCACUGAGAACCACUGCCUUAAAUGUUUGUCUUGCUUAAAAAUACCUGUGUAUAAUUCUAGAGAUUAAAUUUGUGGGCCCACGGAAUUGGAGAACCAGUUUAUGCCAGUUCUAUGCUGGAGAGAUUAAUAUUUUGAGAGACAAAAGCCAAAGUCAAAGAGAUAAUCUUAGCAGAAAAAUGAAUGCUUUUCCGUUUUUUGUUUCCCCCAGUAAAGGUCCAAGAAGAAAUUGCAAAGGUUGUUGGAUCUUCUCAGCCAAGGAUUGAACACCGAACAAAAAUGCCUUAUACGGAUGCCGUGGUCCAUGAGAUCCAGAGAUUUGCCGAUAUCGUCCCAACCAACCUGCCACAUGCCACGACUACAGAUGUUACCCUCAAAGGCUACUUCAUUCCAAAGGUGAUCCUUUUCACUGAACUGCUGCCCACUAGUUACAAUAUAUUUUAAGGCUUUUCUGGGAGUAAGCCCCUUGGACUUCAGUGUAGGUGACAUCUGUGCAGACGAGUAUAGUAUUGCAUUGUAAGCAUGCAAUCUACCCUUUGGAAGCUGUCAGGCAUCAGCUUCAACACAUUAAACAGAUCUCAGUGGAAAGGAGCACAAGGUUGGAAAAGAAACCAUUUCUGGUGGAAGAUCAUGACUUAUAUGUUAAAGUUUUUCAAACGAAAGACAUUUCUCAAAUGAUCUCAAAUCUCAUUUCUCCUGCACUGAAUAUUAAUUGUACCGGCGGCAUAUGCUUUAUAUUAAAAUGACUCUCGCUUUGCCUUUGCAGGGGACUCACAUCAUACCAUUGCUGUCCUCUGUGCUGCAUGAUGAAUCUCAAUGGGAGAAACCACAUAAAUUCUAUCCUGAG